rnacentral:tRNA from 1 species
GCCGGUGUAGCUCAGUUGGUAGAGCAGCUCAUUCGUAAUGAGAAGGUCGCGUGUUCGACUCAUGUCACCGGCA